rnacentral:lncRNA from 1 species
CUCUCCUCACUCUCGUUGCUUUCUUCUCUCUCACUGAUUCUUUUCCCUCGCCUUCCUACUCAGCCGUCACUCCUCUCUUGUUGCUUUCUUUUUUCUCUACCGAAUCUCCCUCGUUCAUCCCCCCGUAGCCUCUUGCCUUCAGCCACCCAUUCCACUCUACUCUCAUUUCUCAGAUCCUUUAUCCCCAGAAUUUUCUUUUGCCGUCAGCCUUUUCUCUCCUGCCCCGCUCUCGAUUUUUCCUCUCCAGCCGCCAGAGCCUAAAACCCUUUUUAGCCUUCAAACUCUCCCUUCACUCUUUCCUUCAGUCGUAAUCCGACCCCUUCCUUCUUUUUUUUUUGGCUGUGUUUUCUCUUCAGCUUUUAUAUGGAACCCAUGUCACUAAAACCUACCUUCAAAGGUGCCGAUGAAACCCCUGUUUUGCUGGCAGGUUUUCUUUCAAAAAUCCCUAUCCUACAAGUGUCCAGACACCUCACCAUCUAGAUAAUGGGUUGUCCAAGACAAAAAGGGACACUUGUCCCUGUUACAUAUUCUCCAUUUGUCUAGCAUGCAAACUUCCACCUAUUUCACACAUUUUGCUUAUUAUUUUUUUUGUAUUUUUGUAUUUUUCAUUUUUCUCCUUUUUUUUGAAAUUUAGUAUGAAGACAAAAAUAAAUAAAUAAUAAUAAAAUAAAAUGAACUAGAACAAAAUAAAAUAAAAACCCUAGAAUUGGAACAAAUAAAGCAAAAUUAAAUUAAUUAAACCAAUAAAGUUAAAAAAUCAAAAAUUUGGUGUCUACAAUUUGCCCCUCUUUGUCUGAGUUUCGAAGAAACUUGAGACAAAAACGUAGACACCAAAUACUUACCUGCGUCAUUCGGCUGCCACUACUCGAACGGCUGCCGUUUUUUGACAUGAGAACUGACCCCUUUAACCAAAAUUUUAAAAUGGGACUGACCCAGACGAAAAUUUUAAAACGGGACUGAACCGAAUCAGAAUUUAAAAUGGGACUGACCCAAACAAAAUUUCAAACGGGACUGACCCAAACAAAAAAUUUAAAACGGGACUGACCCGAACAAACUUUAAAUCAUGGGACUGACCCGAACAAAAUUUAAAUCAUGGGACUGACCCGAAUAGAAUUUCAAUCAUGGGACUGACCCGAACAAACUUUUAAAUCAUGGGACUGACCCGAACAAACUUUUAAAUCAUGGGACUGACCCGAACAGAAUUUAAAAUCAUGGGACUGACCCGAACAAGAAUUUAAUCAUGGGACUGACCCGAACAAAAAUUUAAACAUGGGACUGACCCGAACAAGAAUUUAAAUCAUGGGACUGACCCGAAGAAAAUUUAAAUCAUGGGACUGAUCCGAACAAAAUUUAAAUCAUGGGACUGACUCGAACAAAAUUUAAAAUCAUGGGAUUGACUCGAACAAAAUUUUAAAUCAUGGGACUGACCCGAACAAACUUUAAAUCAUGGGACUGACCCGAAUAAAAUUUAAAUCAUGGGACUGACCCGAAUAAAACUUUUAAAUCAUGGAACAGACUCGAACAAAAUUUAAAUCAUGGGACUGACCCGAACAAACUUUUAAAUCUUGGGACUGACCCGAACAAAAAUUUAAUCAUGGAACGCACACUAGUGGGACUGACCCACGUUUAGUGGCAGUAUAAAUGAAAUGCUCACUAGUAGGACUGAUCCAACGGCUAGUGGCGGAGCUAAAGAAAUGCUCAUUAGUGGGACUGACCCAACGGCUAGUGGCGGUGCAAAUGAAAUGCUCACUAGUGGGACUGAUCCAACGGCUAGUGGCAGUGCAAAAUGAAAUGCUCACUAGUGGGACUAACCUAACGGCUAGUGCAAAAUGAAAUACUCACUAGUGGGACUGACCUAACGGCUAGUGGCAAUGUAAAUGAGAGGCUCACUAGUAGGACAGACCCAACGGCUAGUGGCGGUGCAAAAUGAAAUGCUCACUAGUGGGACUGACCCAACGGCUAGUGGCAGUGUAAAAGAAAUGCUCACUAGUGGGACUGACCCAACGGCUAGUAGCCGUUCAAAUGAGAGGCUCACUAGUGGGACUGACCCAACGGCUAAUGGCAAUGUAAAAGAAAUGCUCACUAGUGGGACUGACCCAACAGCUAGUGGUAAUAUAAAUGAGAGGUUCACUCGUGGGACUGACCCAACGGCUAGUGACGGUGCAAAAUAAAAUGCUCACUAGUGGGACUAACCCAAUGGCUAGUGGCAAUGUAAAUGAAAAUGCUGGUAUGUAUGAAGAAACUGUAUAAGAUUUGCUUGAAAAAUUAUCCAAAGAUUUGCCCCAAUAUGAUGAAUUGGUCAGUGGGAUUAAACCCGAGCCUGCCCAACGUGAUUUUUGUAAUGUUGGCGGUACAAAAUUCAGGCCCAACGUGAUCUUUGUGAUAUUGGCGGCAUAAAAUCCAGGCUCAACGUGAUUUUUAUGAUGUUGGCGGCACAAAAUCCAGGCCCAACGUGAUUUUUGUGAUGGUCAGUGGGAUAAGACCCAAUCCUGCCAUCCAAUUGGUCAAGAAAUUAAGUGUGAUUGUCAAGAAAGGGGGGGGAUAGAAGGGUACGCGGCAUACGCUGAAACUUCGCCCACAAGAAAUUAAAUUUGAUUUUUUUUUUGGUUUUGAUUUUACCUUCUUUUCUAGUAAUGAUCAACCAAGUAGAUUAGAAGAAGAGAGCAAUGUUGAUUAGAAAAACAAGUAUAGAUAAGCAAUGAGAAUUUUAUUAAACAAAAAAAAUAAGAUAGAAUAUCAAACCGAUUGUCUACCAAGCUUUCCUCAAACUUGAAGACCAAUCACUAGGUUGAGCAACUUCUCUUUGAUGAAAGAUGAUCAACUAGAUGUACAAUGGAGGGAGCACUUCCUCCUUGCCCUAAGCCUCACUUAGUCAAGCUAAGAAGUUUUACAAUCACUCAGAUAACCCUCAACAAAGCUACACUAAUAAAACUUUCAACCACAAGAGAAAUGCUCACAAGAAAUUCACACCACUUGGAGAACAAAUCUUGUCUUGGAGACUAUUUUCAAGCUAAAAUAUCUCUUGAGAUCUUGUAAACAAAGUGUGCAAAAGUUCCUUCUUCGUUCAGAAUCGUUUGUAUUUGAAGGGGACCAAAAAUGGGCUUCACUAAUGCUUCCAACGGAUAGAAGGCAGAUGAAGAGUCAGCUAGCCGUUGGGGCUGUCGGACGUCCGACAGCUUAGUCAUCGUCCGAUCCCAUCAUCCGAAAAUCAGUCAAGUUGUUGCUCGGACGUCCGAUGGGAUUUUAUCGUCCGAGCUUCUGUGUCCGAACGUCGUCCAGAGAGUUAUCAAAGCUUUGUGGAAUUUUUAGGACGUCCGAUGAGAUUGAUGUGCGUCCGAAGCAUGCGUCCGAUCCUUCAGGACGUCCGAUGCUUCCUUACGAGCGUCCGACAGAGUUUCCUUCUUGAUGUUCUUCAUCCUUUCGGACGUCCUACAUGAGUGUCCUGUUUUUGCUUCUUCUUUUGGUUGAUUUUCAUUUCUUGACAUAUUCGUACCUGAUUCUUUGAUAGGCAAAAAAUACUUAUAUUUGAAGAGAGUUAGAUAAACAUUUCAAAGUACUUUGUGAUCAUCAAAACCAAGAAUAACAUUCUCCCCCUUUUUGAUGAUGACAAAACAAUGGUUUGAAAUGAGAUUUGAUGAUUGCAAUAUAAGCUCCCCCUUUCUCAAUUGACAAAAACUCCCCCUUACAAUGACCUGUUCUAACAAAUUUCUCACAUAAAAACAGUAGUCCAAAUCUACAUUUUGGUUUGUUAAUCAUCAAAUCCAAGGACUGAUCAACCAAGGUCAACAAUCUCCCCCUUUUUGAUGAUGACAAACAAAAUGAAGAUUUCUUUGAUUAAAUAAGUUCAAAUAAAACUCCCCUUUAGAAAAUGCCAACAUACAAAGAAAUUUCAAUAAAUCCUACUCCCCCUUUUGGCAUCAAUCAAAAAGCAAACUCCCCCUCACUUGGCUACCCUACCGAAUUAAUCAAUUAUCCAAAAACAUAACAAUUAAGCAGCCAACAUCCAACAUUUUACCAAUUCAAUCCAUCAAGCCAAUUCAAUUUCAAUUAAAUCAUCAAUCAAUCCAAUCAAGUCCUCUCCCCCUUUUUGUCAUCACAAAAGGCCAAUCAAUCACAUAUAUCACGGAGAACCAAUAACAAAAAUAUUCAUCACAUCCACACAUUCAUCAUUCAAAAUACUUAAACAUCCAUCCACAUAUCCAUAACCAUUACAGCCAUAAUCAUCGCAUCCAAAACUUAUAAUUUCAGAAAAACUCCCCCUUACACAUAGCAUCCAUCUCUCCCCCUUUUUGUCAUCAUAAGAUGAGAGUAAAAAAUCAACUAUCAUAAUCCAGCAACAAUAACAGAGUAUAAAAAUAGAAAAAUGACAACAAUCACCAACAUAUCACAGAGAAUUUGAUAUCAAAAGAAGUAUCAACAUAUGACAGAGAGUUUUGACAAAGCAAACCAUCUUUAGAUCAGAAUUGUUCUUUUCUUUCCCUUUUGAUAUCAUACAGAUUCAGUAAAAUUCAAAAACUCAUAUCAAAGUAUCAGAAAUAUCAAAAAAGAAACAUUAUGAACAAGAAUCACUGCAAUGAUUAACAAAAUCUCCUACUUGUUAGAGUUAGCAUCAUGUCUAACUAUCCACAUGCAUUUCAUGCCUUUUUUUAUAUUCUUUUUCACAUAGCAAUCACUUUUCAUGUGACCUUUUUGACAACAGAAAUUACACAUAACCAAAGAGUUAUUCACAUGAACGGGUUUAAUAAAUCUGACUUGCCUUUUCCUAUGGAUAGCAAAUUCGUUGGAAUUAGAAUUCAACAUAUUCUUUUGAAAACAGACUUGUUUCUUGUGUUUAAGCAACUCAUUUAGACCAUUCAUUCUUCUUUUUAAAUCACCUAGUUCCUUUUUGAACAAUUCACAAAGUUUUGUUUUUCUAUCAAGUUCAAAAUGUAAAGCAGUCUCACUCUUUUUGAAGUAAUCAUUUUCAGCUUUCGACUUUUUUUUUUGUUGAAAAAGAUUUGCAUUUUCUCGAAUCAAAAAACUAAUUUUCUGUUUUAACUCCUUGUUUCUAGCAUAGGAUUCUUUCAAACUAUCAUGCAAUUUUAUAAUGAAAGAUUCAAGAUCAUCAUCAGUUUCAUCAUCACUUUCAACUUGAGAGUUACAAGUUGUUACCUCAUCAUCUCCAAUGGCCAUGAAAGCCAAUUGAGCAGAUUCUUCUUCCUCUUCAAUUUCACCAUCGGAGUUGCAUUCAUUCCAUGUGAACUGGAAGUUAUUGAAUCUGGGUUUUCUUUCACCUUUUCUCUUCUUCACUGGACACUCACUUGCAUAAUGUCCAGGUUGGCCGCAUUCAAAGCACUUGUCACCUUGCUUUUUGUUGGCCUCAUAUCUUCCUUUAUUUCUUGCAUUUUUGAAUUGAUUAGAAUCUGAAUUGCUAGAUCCUCCUCUUCUAAAUCUCUUUUUGUUGAGAAUCCUCUUGAAACUUCUUGUGAUGAGAGCAAGAUCACUGUCAUCACCAUCCGAGUCUUCAUCAUCCAACAGAGCUGGAUCAUCUUCACCUUGAGCUGCCUUUAGAGCAAUGUUUCUUUUUGAUCUCGCAUCCUCUUCCUCCUGCACUUUAGUUUUCAACUUCAACUCAUAGGAGGUUAGUGAGUUAAUGAGAGAUUCAAUAGGUACAGAAUUCAAAUCCUUAGCCUCUUCUAUUGCAGUCACUUUACUUUCCCAUUCUUUGCCCAAUGCAUUGAGAAUUUUCCUAUUUUUCUCUCCCAAUGUGUAUUCUUUGCCCAACACCUCGAGAUCUUUGAUCAAGUCAUUGAACCUGCAAUACAUUUUGUCAAUAUUCUCAAGGGGUUCUAUUUUAAAUGAUUCAUACUUUGUGACCAAGAUAGACUUUUUCUGUUCUCUCACGUUGUCACUACCCUCAUAAAUUUCUCUUAGCUUAUCCCACAUUUCUUUGGUAGAUUUACAUCCUUUGACUCUAAUUGACUCAUUUGAGUCUAAGGCACUAUAAAGAACAUUCAUGGCUUUGGCAUUCAAUGUGAGAUUGGUUCUAUCUUGAGCAUUCAUCUCAGCUCUUGUUUUUGGCCGAAACAAACCUGUAUCUGCAUCAAGAAUGUUAGUGUCAUGCGGUCCUUCAUUUACAAUAAACCAUAGCUCAAUAUCAAUGGAUUGCAAAAAGAUAAUCAUUCUUUCUUUCCAACUAAAAUAAUUGGAACCAGUAAACAUGGGAGGCCUAGUGACCGAUUGUCCCUCAACAAACAUGGCAUGAUUGGUUGUCAUCUUUACUCCAAGCCGCUUGAGCUUAAUCUCUAGGAACCAAGCUCUGAUACUAAUUGUAAGGCCCAAAGACAACCUAAGAGGGGGGUGAAUUAGGUUGAUUAAAAUCUUAAUCAAACUUAUACAAUUUUUCUUUAAUAAAAAUUUACCUUCUUUUCUAGUAAUGAUCAACCAAGUAGAUUAGAAGAAGAGAGCAAUGUUGAUUAGAAAAACAAGUAUAGAUAAGCAAUGAGAAUUUUAUUAAACAAAAAGAAUAAGAUAGAAUAUCAAACCGAUUGUCUACCAAGCUUUCCUCAAACUUGAAGACCAAUCACUAGGUUGAGCAACUUCUCUUUGAUGAAAGAUGAUCAACUAGAUGUACAAUGGAGGGAGCACUUCCUCCUUACCCUAAGCCUCACUUAGUCAAGCUAAGAAGUUUUACAAUCACUCAGAUAACCCUCAACAAAGCUACACUAAUAAAACUUUCAACCACAAGAGAAAUGCUCACAAGAAAUUCACACCACUUGGAGAACAAAUCUUGUCUUGGAGACUAUUUUCAAGUUAAAAUAUCUCUUGAGAUCUUGUAAACAAAGUGUGCAAAAGUUCCUUCUUCGUUCAGAAUCGUUUGUAUUUGAAGGGGACCAAAAAUGGGCUUCAUUAAUGCUUCCAACGGAUAGAAGGCAGAUGAAGAGUCAGCUAGCCGUUGGGGCUGUCGGACGUCCGACAACCUAGUCAUCGUCCGAUCCCAUCAUCCGAAAAUCAGUCAAGUUGUUGUUCGGACGUCCGAUGAGAUUUUAUCGUCCGAGCUUCUGUGUCCGAACGUCGUCCAGAGAGUUAUCAAAGCUUUGUGGAAUUUUUAGGACGUCCGAUGAGAUUGAUGUGCGUCCGAAGCAUGCGUCCGAUCCUUCAGGAUGUCCGAUGCUUCCUUACGAGCGUCCGACAGAGUUUCCUUCUUGAUGUUCUUCAUCCUUUCGGACGUCCGACAUGAGUGUCCUGUUUUUGCUUCUUCUUUUGGUUGAUUUUCAUUUCUUGACAUAUUCGUACCUGAUUCUUUGAUAGGCAAAAAACACUUAUAUUUGAAAAGAGUUAGAUAAAUAUUUCAAAGUACUUUGUGAUCAUCAAAACCAAGAAUAACAGAUCUUUUCGAGAGAACCUUUUCAAAAAUAAUUUGCCCCAGUGUAGGGCCUUUUUCCCUUCUUUCUUCUCUUUAUUCGGCAUCGGCCUUCCACAUCACUAGAUGUUCUUUCGUCGAUUUCAGCCAUAAAUACCUGUACAGGGGGGCUUACCAAAGUAUGACAUGCACUUGAAUUUCAUGAAAAGAGCAGCGUGAUUGAUUCAAAAAAUGUAUUAUUUGAUUUUUGGACGAAAACCUCAAAUGUAUUACAAAAAAUUUAUCCCAGUGUGGGCCCAUUUUACGAAAUCUCAUAAACAAAAAAUUGCCCGAGUAUGGGCCCAUUUUGUAAAAUCUCUCAAAUGAAAAUUUGCCCCAGUGUGGACCCAUUUAAUUGCAAACAUUUGUUUGGAUGGCUCUUAAUUUUUUGAACAAUGUAAGAAACUAUGUUUCCUAACAGAAAAUUUCAUGAGGAAUCUCUCGAAAUAAAAUCAAAUCACAGAAGAUUUCUUCCACACCUUAGCAUCGGUGCUUAGGGUAACGGGUCGCCACUUCUUGUUGGCUCAUCUUUCAAGACCAAUCAAGUGAUCUUAUUUCUGAUUUUGAGAUGGCUAAGGAAAAUGAUAAGUCAAGAUUUGUCUUGUUCUUGUGCCCAAAAUUGUAUGUAAUCCAUUCAACAUCACAUCUUAGUGAAAGCAAAUAGUUUGUCACCCUUAUUUCUUAAGAAAACUUAGUCAACACAUAAGAUUUAUAAGCUUGUAACAGAGGGGUAGAAACGAUACCAACGCAUGCGGAAACAGGUUAUAACCUUAUGAUCAGGAGCGUAACCCUUGCUUUGAGUUGUCAUGAGAGAUAAGCCAGCGAUGGACUUUAUGAGCUUGUAAUGCGGCUGGAAAACGAUAGUUGAAGGAAUAAGACUUUCAAGAACAUUGCACCGAAGAUCGCAUUUCCAAAAUUGCCCCUAUUUUGAACUCAAAGAUCUCAGAUUUGGUGACUUUCAUCAUCACUUAACGGGGACUUCACCAUCAAAUCUUUUUCAUUUCCUUUACAAUUAUUUUUGCUUUUUCCUUUUCUUUUCUUUUCAAAGGUGCCCUGGCGGAUUUUCAGACGAUGAGUAAUGUCAACUUCACAGCUAAUCAAUUCAGAAAUACAUCUAAACAAUUUCCUAGCAUCAGUAUAUGCGCAUCACUUGCCAAUUAAUUAGAAAGUUUCUUAACAAAGAUAUUGCAAAGAACGGAAGUCAGGACUUUCGACUUUUGUAAUAGGGUCUGGUGGGGUGUUUAGAAAAGUUAAGGCUUGAAGGCAGAUUUCAAAAGUGGUUUAAGUAAUCUGAGAUCGCAUUGUUGCGCCAACCCUAUUUUAGGGUUAAAUAAAAAACUUGCCCCAGUUCAUUCUCCAUUGAGGCUUUUUCUUUUUCAUUUCGUUCUCUUUUUCGGCCUUCUGCCAUUCUUUUGAACUUUUCCAAAAAUUUGCCCCAAUUUAUGCUCAACCGAGGUUCUCUUUUCUUUUUUCUUCUUUUGAUUUUGGCCCUCUUUCAAAAAUUAAAUUUGCCCUAGUUUGGGGUUUUUCUUUUCCUUCUUUUUCAAAACUCAAUUUACCCCAAUGUGGGGUUUGUGAUUCUCUGGGGUUGCCAAACGAAAUAGUUUAUUCUGAAGGUUCAAAAGGGAUAACUAGAGAUAAAAUGUUUGAUUGGAAAGGAAGAUGGCCUGACUUUCGUUCCAUUCCUCACAUUGACCCUGAAAGGAAACUUUCAUUUAUGCGAAAUUUCUUGCAUGUAUCUGAAUUAAUUGACUAAGGAAGACUCUUGUUCAUCCAUAUCUAUGAAACAUAAGUGAUCCGCCGAACAAAACUCGUCCUUUUUCUCUUUUCUUUUCAAAAUUGAAACCCAGGUAGAAUCAAAUUUUCCCAAUUUGAGGUUUCCUUUUCUUUUCUUUUCUUUUUUUGCAAAAUUUCCCAAUCUCCUUCCUCAAUGUGGGGUGCGAUCAUAAGUGUAUUCGAAAAGAACCACCUAUUUUGACUCAAAUGAGGAUGCAAGGGGUAAUCCGUGUUUAGGUUGUAGAAACGAUGGCCAAAGUAUCAUUAUCCGUGUUUAGGUUGUAGAAACGAUGGCCAAAGCAUCAUUCUUACGCUUCAUGACAACCAAAGUAAAGAAUAACUCAUCGAGAACCCAUUCUCUUUUAAAAAUUUUUCCAAUGUAGGGUAGUGAUCAUUAAGACCCUUAUUUGAAACGAAAUUAUUCUUUUAUGGCUCAAAUGGGAGAGCAAAUGAUAAAGUCUGUAUAGAUAGAGAAACGAAAGUCUAAAGUAUCAUUCCAAAUUUUUAAAACAAAGAAGAAGUGAUGUACAUUUUUGCUUUCACUUAGAUGUGAAUUGAAUUUGAUUAAACUAGUGGGCAUUUUUCCAAGCAAAGAUUAUCCCAAUUUGCAAUUUGUUAAUCAAUGUGACUGAUUCUUGGGGGUCCAUAGAAGUGGGCAAAAUAUGGAUUGUGCAGUGAAGGAGAAAAGGUAUUGCAUUGGGCCUUUUGAAUAACCUCUUUUAAUUUUGAGCACUAUUAUUGUACAGUUUGAAUCACCAAUCUAGUGAAUGCAGAGAAUUUAUAAAACAUACACUUGUAAAUUUUCAGACAGGAGGUCGAAAAAUCUCAAUUUCGUCUUAUUUCUUAAAAUUCAUCAUGAAAUCCCUCAAAUAGCAAAAAAAGAAUGAAAUAUACAUGAUUAUAUACAAAACAACAAUUGUAUAAAUAAAAAAAAACUUUAUUGCUGAAAAAUUUGAAACAAAAUUUCUUCAAAUGAGAAGAGAAAGACUUCUGAAGAGCUCCACAUAUACCCACUUUUUGCCUCUUUUUUAGAACAUAAUUUUUCUUUUCUUUGAAAAAUAAUGAUGAAAUCUCUUAGAGGCUUUAGCCUAGCACUUCCAAAUAGAUCCUUCAUGUUUUCAUUGCAGGGUCUGCCCAAGAAUCAAGUAAUAUUUAUAAUUUUCAGGAUUCAUUAGACAAAAUCGUCAUCAAAUAUAGAAAGAAUAUUUUUACUUCAUUGAAAUCUCUUUUAUAAAUGCAGGGGAGGGGGAAAAAUAAAAGAACAAAAUACCCACAGUUAGUAAUUAAAAUUGUAAAAUCGGUAUGCAUGUCCUAUGGGGGAGCCCUUUUGCGCCAAGGGUUGGCCUAUCAUGAAAAUGCAAUCCUCUGGGAGUAGGCACUAUACAAUACCUGAUGGAUCCGAUCAACUUAUUGAGUGAAAAAUAAUUUGAAAAUUUUGGUCAAUUGGAGUGACGAGAGACAUUUGUCAAAAUGAGGACAACGUCCGAAUGGAUUGAUCACUUCGAUCGAUACAAGAAUUUGUAAAAACGCACCGGUUUGAUCUUGACAAACUUCCUAUCAGAGAGAUUGAAAUUCGUUGACAAAUUUUCUCAGUGAAGCAUGGGUCAAAACCCCAACCGACCAAAUGGCUGGAUGCAAUGGAUGGUUUUCUUAGAAUCGACUAGGUUUCCCAAUUUGAAAUUCGACAUUGAAACCCUAAUUGGUCAAAUGGGUUGAAUGAAAUUGACAAUUUAUUUAAAAUCGACCGGAUUACCCUAAAAAGGGUAAACUAGUCAAAUAAAUUGGAUAAAAUUGAUAAUUUAUUCAAAUUUGACCGGAUUACCCUAAAAAUGGUAAACUGGUCAAAAGAAUGAAAUGGAUGAUUUAUUCAAAAUUGACUAUAUUGUCCUAAAAUGAAUGAAUUGACCAAAUAAAUUGGAUGAAUUUGAUGGAUAAUUUGAUCAAAUGAAUUGAAUGGAAAUGAUGGUUUAUUGAAUCGUCUACCUAUUGGUAGUUUCAAAAAGUCAUUGCGAUGCAUUAGUCUAUGAGUCUUCUAAAAUCAAGAUUUGGCCUCAAUAUGUUUAUCGUCUCAAGAAGGACCAUUUGUAAAUUUCUUCAAAUUAAUGUCCUUUAUGCAAGGGAUUUUUACCAGAUAUGUUAAAAUGGCCAAAAGAUGAUUGUUAGAUGUCCAUAUCCUAAUGUGCAAAAAUUGCUUUGUCGUCUUCGAAAAGAUCGGAUCCUACCUUAUCUCGUGCACUACCCCUUCGGACAGUACAAGAAAUAUAACCGUGCAAGUCUCAUUGGAUUAAGUAUCCGAGACACGAGGUGGUUUAUUCCUAUAACGGGAUUCCCUAAAUGGUAUUUCAUCUAAAACUUGUGCAUGAUGCCAAUGUAUCAAAGCAAUUUAAAUAUGCAAAAUAUGACCUGAGGAACCCUUUGUAUGCCAGGGUAGGCCUAGAAUGAUGUUCAAUUUUCAAUCUAUAAAUGCAAUUCAUUGGAAUCUUAAACAUGCAAUAACCUAUCUAAGAGGGUAAGUUCUAAAAGUAGAUCAUGCUAGAUCUCUUAAUUCCUAGCGUUUGUGAAUGCAAAAGACAAGAAAACAAAGAAAUGUUAGUUCAAUAAAUAAUCACAUAACACGUUGAGCCAAUUAAUUGAUAUAAAAGACAAUAAAGAAAAAUAAGGAAAGAAUGGUGGAAUCCCUCCCCUCGUGCCUAGUGUUCCUAAUUCAGGAUAAGGUCGACUCUACCCUAGGCAAUUCUAAUAUGGAUGCAUGAGGUUUGGCUCACUAAUGCAUCUAGACUAGAUAAGGUUUCGGCUCCCAAGUCUUCAGACCUAAAGGCGAAAGGUCAUCACUCCCAGGACCUUUGAUCGGUGGCUCGAGUGAUUCCUUAGAUAGCGCUAUGGGCGCAGGGCACACCAUCCGCCUACCCAAGGCAAUCAGAGGUGUGGGAAACGCCCACGAAAAAGAAAAAAAUAGGGUAAAUAAGACUAUGCAUGCACGUAUGAGGUGCUUUCUUAUUGAGAGGAGGGAUUAUACCAUCAGAUGCGGUCGAAGGUUCUAGGGUAACUACCCCCCAUCCCAAAAUGCAAUAGCGAAACAAGUAAAAGUAAACAAAUAAAUGAACCAUCCAUUCAUCACAUACAUAGCGUGCGAAGAGCGAUUAUGCGAGUGAUAGAUACAAAAUCCCUAAAAAGAGAAAAAGGGCAAAAGGAAAAGAAGAAUGCAACCCUAAACCUCCAAAUGUGAUAUAUGAAAAGGUUAAAAAAGAAAAAGAUUGACUAAAUCAAAUUUGCUCGGAUUCUCUAAGUUCCCAGUAGAGUCGCCAACUGUCGCGCCCCAUUGUUUAUAGAAAAAUAAUGAGUUUAGAAAAAUGAAUUUUUGAUUUUUUGGAAAAAUGAGUUUUGUUUUUAGAAAAUGAAUAAAGGAAAAUGGCCUAAAUGGGGUUUGUAAUGCGACAAUUUGGGCCCAAAUUAUAGUUAAAAAGGGUUUUUGAAAUAAAAAUUGAAGUCGCCACUUGGUAUAGAGUUAAGGUGUACAAAGUCACUUAAAAAAUGAAUUUUAAAGAAAAAGUAGAAAAACCCUUUUUAAGCGACUCCAAGUCUACGAAAAUCAGAGAAAAAGAUUCGGGAGUCACAUUUGAAGAAAGGGAAGGCAAGGAUAAAAUCCAAGGCACCCUUUCAAUCUAGCCAAGGCUAGUUGCGCGAUUUAGUCCAAGAUUUUCUUAUUUUAACAUAAAGAUUUAUCACAUUUGGAUAUACUAUAUGAAUGCAUACCCUAGACCUAGGAGGGUAUCGGUGUGAGAACCUUGAAAAAAAAAUAUAUAUAUAUAUACAUAUAGGUAUAUAUAUAUAUAUACUUGUCGCAUUUGCAUCUUUGACUUUUAAUAAAUUUUAUUAUUGUUGGUUCUUAGAUAAGUAUGUAAAAAUAAGUUUAAAGUUGCAAAUAAGUUAAUUGUGCAAAAUAUUGGGUUAUUUGAAUUUUUGCCAAAUUAAGUUAAUAUUUCUUGACGUAGAGUGUUUUAUUACGUUAAUAUUAAUUCCUUGAAUUUCAAUAGCUAAUUUUAAGUAUUAAUAAUGUUAGGUGUUAACGGGAACCUAGAAUUACGACGAAAUCGUUUUGGUCAAAACUCUUUAUAAUUACACUUAGGACGUUGAAUCUCGAUAAUUUAAUUUUUGCGAGACUAGUAUGCUAGUAGGCUAUCAAAUUUCAUUUGGGGUGAAAUCUUGGAGUUAGUUUACAAAUGAGGGAUCUAAGUGGAAGGUCAAACAAGAUGUUAAAAGACCAAAUUAGCCUUCCUCCAUUUCAAAUUCACCAUGCAGCCAUGGAACCAUCUUGAACGAGCUUCAAUUCCAAACACUUCCAAUUUCUGCCAGGUCCAUUUUCCACUCUUCAUUCCAGCACCUGCCAUCUCUAAUGCUGACUCAACUCCACUUAAAACACUCCACUAUAUCAACUGCAUUCCACUACAACAACACUUCAAUUCUAUUCCUUCCUCCUGCCGUGAGCCGAGAAUGGAGUAAGAGAGAGAGGGAGCCGAGUUCUUCAUUUUCCUUUCUUCCUGUCCGCAAGCUAUAAAAAAAAUGGGACUGGCUGUUCAUUCUUCCUUCCAUCCGUGAGCUAGUGAAGAGUCUGAGGCCAAACUUCCUCCAUUCUAGUUGCAAGCUUGAGAAGGGAAGAGGGAGAGCUGACGGGCUGCAUUUCUGGACUGUCCGAGAAGAAAAAAUUUGCAGCUGCUAUCCGUGUGAGUUGAGCCCCAAGCUGAGGUAAUUUAUGGACCUAGACUAGUUGUUUAGGGGUAGAUGAUGUUGAUUAUAAGCAUGCAUGUGGUGGUUGUGUGGUUGGAUGAUAGAUUAAGUCACAAGAAAAACUGAUUGUGAAGGAAUUGGAGUUGCCGAAUGAGUAAGCUGGAAAUUUGCGGCUUGAGUUGGCCAAUUUGGGAUAAUUUGAGUUAAAUGUGUCUUUAGCUAGCCAAAAUCUGGGUGAUUGAGCUUUGCAUGAGGAUAAUUAGCCUUGAUUAAGGAAGAAAGUUGUAGGAACACAAAAUCUGCUUGCAUGCAAGCUAACCGAGAAGGACCGAAUGAAUCUCUGGUUGGAUGAUAAUUUUUUUUUAUGUUGUCCGCACUUGGUUUGGAUCAAAACUGAUAGAUAGUUAAUUAUUUUGAUCAUGCAUGUAGCUGAUGUGAGUCGUGGUUAAGGAAAAAGAAAAAGAAAAAAGAAAGAGAUGAAAUCUGAAAUUUGCGGCCGAGAGAAGGGGUUGAACAUUUGAUUAGUUUUCUUCGAAUUCGUAGCUAAGAUUUUCGUAUGGGAUGUUUAAGGUUUGCUUGUAGCUUGCUAAUCACCUUUUGCAUGUUGAGUUGAAGUAAAAAUUGAAGAAAACUAGGGACAAAAGCUCUAUAAGUAAACUACUAUAUCGCUGGAAUUUUUCUUGGUUGUCAGAACAAGGGGAAAAAUCUGAAUUUUUGGAAUUUUUUUUUGUGAGUAAGCUAACCGUGACUUUCUUUUAUGUUUGAGUUAAUUUCUGGUUGAUUGUGGUAAGGAAUGAUUGUAUGUUGUCAAGAGCUAAUGAUUGAUGAAGCUCUUGGCCAUUUGAGUAAUUUUUGCAAGAGUUUAAUGUUUGGUGAGUUUAUUCAAGUAGUUGGCUGAAAUGUACUUGGAAGGUCCAUGGUUUGUGAUUUGGGAUUGUUUUGAUACCUUGGACUUCCUUUGUUGAAUUUUGUUUGGAAUUGAAUCUGUUGAGACCUAGGGCUACUGAUUGAUGAAACCCUAGUGAAAUUGAUGUUUGGUUUGUAAUUUUACUAUAUUGGUCUUUUGAAUUCGAGUAGUUGAUCAAGCUUUAUUGAAAUAUUUUAUCUUAAUAUCAAGAUAUAGAAAUUGAGUAUAGUACGAUAAAACUAAAAUUUAAAUGUCUGGAUUUUUAAAAAACCUUGCUAACUGAUUAAUUCUUUUCUUUGCUUAAACUAGUUCUAGUAUUUUUAAGCAAUAAUUGUAUUAACUUCCAAACUUUAAGUUUUUCAUAAAAUUAUCCUUGACUAGUUGUUUUAGAGGAAAAUUGUUAAAAAUACUAGAUUUGAAUAAUUUCAAAUAAAAGGCAUGGAAAACUUGUUCGGCAAGAAAACUUGUUUGAAUUAAAUUGGUUGUAGUUGUACCUCUAGAAAGAAAAGUAGUUUUAAAGGAAUCAUACGAAAUAUUUUAUUACUUUACUAGCUUUAAUUCUAAGAGAUUUAUUGAUUUAUUCCGAGAAAAUAAAUUAGUUUUAUACCAGAUAAUUUUCUGUAUUUAAACCAAGAGUUUGUAUAGUGAAACUUAUAGUUUUUUUUAAACUUGGUUUUUUAGGGUUUAGCAAGGACGUGGGCUUCGAUUUCCAGCUUGACUUUUGAGCUUCACUUUUGGUGAGUGUCCGUGCUUGUUCUAUGACUAAAGUGUUAAAGUGCUUUCUUGACUUGUUAUGUGAUAAUUGGAAAGUGGUUUUCUUGAACCAUCGAAGUGGCAGUGUGUACUUUAUCGCACUAACCUUUCGAGUGGUGACUUGCUUGAAAUGUUUUCUCGAAUAUCUUGCAAUUGUUGACUGGAGCGUGGACUUGUCAACUAAUCUACCAGGCAGGGGAAUGUACCACACCUUAGGGUGGGAGGGCCUCCUAUCCUGACUUGGUAAAAACGUGUUGUGACGUCGUUGGGUGAAUCCCUCGACUAGUUUAUAAUUGUGACGUCGUUGGGUGAAUCCCUAGUCACCCACGACUAGUUUAUAAUGUGACGUCGUUGGGUGAAUCCCUCGACUAGUUUACAAAAAGGUAUACUCAAGUAAUACCAAACUCUCUCGUGAGAAGAACGGGCCUGGUGGGAGUAAGUUGGUUGGAGCGUGUUAAGAAAAAAAAUAAUGAAUCUACAUGGACUUUAGAUAGUGAGAGUUGACGGAGGUUCAACUGCGGUUAAUUUUGAUCGAGAGUGGGGAAAAUGGCUCCUGAGAGCCCUGUAUCCUACCCUGUACUGUUAUACGCUUUUCUACUUGCUGAAUUUAAGCUUGAAGUUAUGAUUUACUAUUUGUGUUAUAUGAUUGCAUGUUUUGGGGCACCACUGAGUUUUAGCUCACCACACGAUAUUUGUUUUCCUUAACAGGUUUUGGCAUUCGAGAGAUUUGAAGUCUGCUUUGAGCUUUUGUAAAUGUUGUUUCGAAUCGUCUGUGUAUCUUUUGUUUUGGGUUGCCACUUGAAGUUGGAAAAGUGCAAACCCUAAGUUUUGGCUUGUAUAAAUUUAUUUGAACUUUACGAAUUCACCGUGUGGUUUAUAAUAUAUUUUUGUAGUUAUAUGUUGAGCUGGUUGGGGGUGUGUUUAAGAGUGAACGUUCGGAUGUCCAAUGGCAAUGUUAUCUCUGAAGUUAAUGUGUUCUUAGUAUUCUGGUUGUAAAGGUUUGGCUUGUUCGGGAGACGUAUGGUGUUUUGGUUUAAGUUAUACGUGGAUAAUUAGUCGGUUUGCUUGCGUGAGUCCUGGCGAGAGCUAGGCAGGCGACCCGCCAACCCUCUGGUUCGCCUUAGAGAGAAGUGGGGCCGCCACAAUCGGGGAGUCAAAAUAUCUCUUCGAAGCUCAAUUGGUACCAAUCACAUUAAUUGUGAUGCCCAAAGUGAUUAUUUCGAAGAAGUCACGAAUUGUGCAAAAAUAUGAGACUCAAAGAGAAAAUACGAAAAUACAAGUAUGUACAGAUAUACAUGACCUAAAGGGAUGCAUCAUAACGGGUGCGGGGAGACUAAUGUUCGUGACUUAAUUUUCCCUUUAAUAGAGGGAAUACGGGCGUGCUAAGGUUAGAAAGCCAAACUCGUCCAUAUCCCAUACGCAAGGGGUUUUCCUAAUCUAGCAUGCAAAUGAUUUAACCUAGUUUCUACCUCUUAAAUGAAAUGCAAGUCUAAUGUUAUGUUUUCAUACAAAGGGGUAAGGAAUAUAUAUAUAAGGGAAAAUACGAAAUAAGGGAUAUAAGUAGAAGGGAAUAUGGGAUAAAGGAUGUACAUAUAUAAAAAAGUGUCAUGCAACAUGGUAAAACCCUAAAAAGUGAAAACAUGCAUGAGAUGAAGUGAUUUUAUCACACAACCAUGAUCUAACGCUCGAGAGGCUCCUAAGGGUCUAGCGUUGGACUAGCCCAUGUCUACAAUUUCCCACUAGCAUUGGACUAGUGAGAAAAGUCGGAACAAAGGGCCACAACUAGCGUUGGACUAGUGUGGUGACGUCACACAUCGGUUACAAUCAAAUAAAUCAUGUAAGACCUAAUAAAAGCAUGUAAACACAUAAAUCACAUAUAGCACAUAACACAUAAACAUGAUAUCUAGAUGCAAGACCCUAAGAAAGCGGUAACACAUAGCACAUAGACAUGCAAAACACACAUAAGGCAAAUAAAGCAAAUAAAGCCCUAACUAUUACAUUCGGAGGAAGCCUACUACAAUCUAAAAGGGGAAACGGAAUAAAAUAAAUAAAAUAAUAACCUAACUAUUACAACUUUGGCAUUCAAGUGCCUUUCAAAUGAUCGAAAUUGAAAAUAACUAUACAAAACUAAAACAAAUAAAGUGGAUAAAUAAAUAAAUAAAUAAAAUGAAAACAUUCAAAAGGCAUGCAAUUAAGCACAUAAAUCACAUAGACACAUAGAGUCAAAUAAAGUGAAAAUAAGGGAUAGAGUGUACCUCCCUUGCAAUGGUAAUCAAAUGAAGAAAAAACAACUUCAAAACAAUAAAAGGGUCAAGGCACCAAUUAAAUAGUAAAGUAUAAACAAAAUCACCAAAUCCCUCCCAAUUGCAACUUAAAUGAAAUCAAAUAAUGCAUAAUUUCCAAGAAAAGUAAAUUAUUGAUCAUAUUUCAAAAAUAGAAGAACUACGAAGGACCCAAUUGCAAAUAUUAACCAAUCACUCAAACCCAAUUAACACAUUUUGAGAAAUUCACGGGUCCAAGAGCAAAGAAGGGGUCAAGUAAUGGUUCAAAUUGCAAUUAUUCUAGGACCUAAUUGCGAGAAAUUAGAACAUAAUUGAGCCAUAGUAAGAUAAAGGGAAGCUUAGGGGAUUAAAGUGCAAUUUUUGAAAACCAUUUUGCAUGCAAGAGCCAUGAAACAAGCUUCUGCAACCGAAAGUCCUUCAGCAGCUAAAGAGAUUCAUCCGCAAGCUUUAUCCAUACAUCCUUGGGUAAACAAAACUUUGAACUAAAUUAACACAUGUACAAACACCCCUUAACAAAGCAAUUCUUUUAAGAAAUUCAUGCAAGUUUCAUGCAAACAAAUGAGCUUCUGCCACUGAAGGAGAAAUCUGCUGCAUUUUCGUUUACAAAACUCAUGUCUCAAACAAUCUUUGAUCAAACUUCUCCAACCAAACACUCAAAAACUUAAUCUAAGCAACGUGACACGCAAUUUCAACAUCGCAACAAACCAAAACAUAGAAGGAAAAUCACACAAAUGCUAGAGAAAUUUCCAGCAAACAUUCGACAACUUGAUUUGUUCAUUUUCCAGCAAGUAUUCGAUCAUAGUUCAAGUAUUUCAGACCCUAAACAUGCAAACUCAACACCACUUAUCCAAUUCCCCUUCAACACCAUAUUAAGCAUGCAACUUAAAUGUAAAAACUCAAUGAGCAUCCAUGGAGAAUAAAACAGCACAAAAGAAUGCAACAGCUUUUUGCUUUGCUGCGAAUUUCGCAGCUUCAAACUCGCGUACGUUAAAUGCUGAAAACAUUGCAUUAAACUCUCCAUUUAUUUACCAAACUCACACACAUCUCCAAACCUCCAUCUAUCACUGAUCAAACAUAGUUACCUCCCCCCCAAAGUACCCCAACCGAAAUGAUCCAGGCCCAAGAAAGCGAGAACAAUACAAAAUUGCAGCAAAGAAAGGGAAAAAAAUGAAACUUGCGGUAAACUGAAGUUGGGAUCUACGAAAGUCAUGAUUUUUCCUAGUCAACCCAUCUAAUCAUUGAACAUCAAACUACCCUAAAGCCUUUUAAAUGCAUUUGAGUCAAUCAGACGAAAUCUGCAGGGCAUCAUGAGCCACAAAGGGAUGAAAUACAAUCAUAUUCACAAGGAAGGAACAAGAAACUGAUCUGACGAACUCAAAUCUUCAUCAAAUAUUUGUGUUAAAGCGACAAGAAACAAAGCUAUAAUUACCUGCAAGAGUUGGUGAAGCAAAGCAAUGUGAAAUAUGUCUGAAAAAUGAAUGCAGAUUCCAGAAAUGAGAUUGAGAAUGUUGCCGCAGAACUUCAGCGCUGAUGAAGCCGUCACUUGGGCUCUUGAUUUAGCUGUCUUCCCGUGAUCUUUUCCCAGAGAUUGGUGAACGAGAUUUCCUCUAUGGCCUCCCAAGAGUGCGCAGAAAUCAAAAGAUCCUUCAGAAGGCCAGAAUCAAAACAGGAAUCUUGUCCCAAAGUAGGCUAGUUCAUCAGUCGGGCUGAGCUUUUGCAGAAGGGAUUCCUGCAAUUUUCCUUCCGUCAUUACCCGAAGCUUUCUUCUUCUGGUUCUUGUUUUUGUUUCUUAUCCGUAGCCUCUAUUCCAUCUUAGCUCUCCCUACUCAGAUUUUCUAGCCGUCGGCUUGCUAUUUCCUUUCUCCCUUGGCCACCCAGAUUCUCCCCUCACUCUCGUUGCUUUCUUCUCUCUCACUGAUUCUUUUCCCUCGCCUUCCUACUCAGCCGUCACUCCUCUCUUGUUGCUUUCUUUUUUCUCUACCGAAUCUCCCUCGUUCAUCCCCCCGUAGCCUCUUGCCUUCAGCCACCCAUUCCACUCUACUCUCCUUUCUCAGAUCCUUUAUCCCCAGAAUUUUCUUUUGCCGUCAGCCUUUUCUUUCCUGCCCCGCUCUCGAUUUUUCCUCUCCAGCCGCCAGAGCCUAAAACCCUUUUUAGCCUUCAAACUCUCCCUUCACUCUUUCCUUCAGCCGUCAUCCGACCCCUUCCUUCUUUUUUUUUUGGCUGUGUUUUCUCUUCAGCUUUUAUAUGGAACCCAUGUCGCUAAAACCUACCUUCAAGGGUGCCGAUGAAACCCCUGUUUUGCUGGCAGGUUUUCUUUCAAAA